rnacentral:rRNA from 1 species
ACGGGGAUGGCGAGCGUUACUCGGAUUUACUGGGUGUAAAGGACAGGCAGGCGGCUUUGCAAGUUGAAGGUUAAAUCCUCUGACUCAAUCAGAGACAUGCCUUCAAAACUACAUUGCUUGAGGAUUUGAGAGGAGAGCGGAAUUCCCGGUGUAAGGGUGAAAUCUGUAAAUCUCGGGAGGAACACCUGUGGCGAAGGCGGCUAUCUGUAACAUCCCUGACGUUGAGCUUUGAAAGCUAGUGUAGUGAACAG